rnacentral:tRNA from 1 species
GCCGUGGUCGCAUAACCUGGUAUUGCGCGAGUUUCGAAAACUCGUUUCCGCAAGGAGUUCUCGGUUCAAAUCCGAGCCACGGCG